CGGAGAGCGCUGACUUCUUCUAUUGAAAAUUUGGACUAUUAACAACAACCCGUGAGUAAUUGGGAAACCGGGUUCAAAAUUUUGGAUUUGGCACGAGCGGGGGCGAUUUAAAAAGGAAGUCAAUCCCCCCCCCUAUUGUAAACAUUCCAAAACAAGGACUGGAUAACCAAGGUCCAAAGGGAAGUAUGUCUUUGAUAAAAAUCAUUAAUUUCACGAUGGGAAAUUAUAAGAAAUGUGCUGGAGGAGAAGAGUGGAGGGUGAGAAGAAAAAUGCAACCCCCCCCCUGGGAACCGGGGCGAUUCGUGGAGCUUGGUGAAGAGAGACGGAGACUUUGACAGCUGUCAAAGUGGCUGUCAAAGCUGGAGAAUAUAAAGAGGACUUUACGAGGACCUUGCUGGUUAAUUUUGUUACAAUUUGCUAUAAUAUGGAU